AGCGAACGCUGGCGGCGUGCUUAACACAUGCAAGUCGCGCGGGAAAAGAGACUUUCGGGUCUUGAGUAGAGCGGCGGACGGGUGCGUAAGACGCGGGUGACCUAUCCGAGAGGCGGGGAUAACCCAGCGAAAGCGGGGCUAAUACCGGAUGAGCCCCCAGGCGGAAACGCGCGGGGGCAAAGAUGCUACUCGAUAGUGGCAUGUCCUCACGGAGGGGCCCACGCCUAUCAGCAGUUGGUGUGGUAACGGCGCACCAAGGCGAAGACGGGUAGCUGGUCUGAGGAGGAUGG
rnacentral:rRNA from 1 species